CCGGAGAGAGCCGACUGCUCGCUGCGCCUCGGACCGAGGCUGCGCGCCUUAACGAAACGCGCCAAAUACGUGGGCGGUGCAGACUUCGCGGCGCACAGGCUAUUUAUGGUGGUGCGCGUGCACAAGUCGAGGAGAGUGGGUCCGCACAUGAGCCUAGUCAGUCUGUGACGUGACGUGCUUUCGAGGUCACGUGGCACGUCCGUAUGCCGUGAGGACUAGUUGAGUUGGAGCAACAAAGAAGCAUGGGCCACUGCCGGAAAGUAUUAAAGAUGUAUUGACACAGCUGGCCAGUGGCAACCAGGAUUUGCUAAUACCUCAAGAGCUGUGUGGAUGGAUGGCAUGUGAAUUUCACAUGAAGAAGGAAAACUUAAUCGCCAAGCUUUCAUGAAAUGUGUAUAGUGGUCGACACGAGCAAAUCUCGCCCCGCAAGCUUGCAGUGUGAUGGAAAUUUCAGGAUUUGAACUCAGGGCUGGCCGGACCCUGUUAACAUGUGAUUUCUCUAUUCCAUUCAACGAGAGGUUUGUUUUAGGCAGACGAUUUCCUACUGCCUUGUUGAGUAUAAGUUCACCCUUUGGAUCGUAUGUUUGUGAAAUCGUAAUAGAUUAAUGUUUGCUCACGUCCCUCACAUGUUCAUCAAAUUGAUGUUUUGCCUUAAGCUUGCAUAAAGUCUAGAAUCUUCUGGAUGUUGAG